rnacentral:misc_RNA from 1 species
UUUCCGUAGGUGAACCUGCGGAAGGAGCAUUCAUAAUAAGUGUUUUAUGGCACUUUUUUAAAUCCAUAUCCACCUUGUGUGCAAUGUCAGGGUUGAUUUUUCUCUCGAGAGGAUCAACCCCAAACAUCAACUAUAUCUCAACUCUUUGUCUGAAAAAUAUUAUGAAUAAAACAAUUCAAAAUACAACUUUCAACAACGGAUCUCUUGGCUCUC